rnacentral:rRNA from 1 species
UACGUAGGGUGCAAGCGUUGUCCGGAAUUAUUGGGCGUAAAGAGCUCGUAGGCGGUUUGUCGCGUCGGCUGUGAAAUCCCGAGGCUCAACCUCGGGCCUGCAGUCGAUACGGGCAAACUAGAGUGCGGUAGGGGAGACUGGAAUUCCUGGUGUAGCGGUGAAAUGCGCAGAUAUCAGGAGGAACACCGGCGGCGAAGGCGGGUCUCUGGGCCGUAACUGACGCUGAGGAGCGAAAGCGUGGGGAGCGAACAGG